GACGGCAUACGAGGCUGUGCUGUACUGGUUUGCAACAUCUGUCACUGGCUUACAUAGCUGUUAAUCUUUCAUUUCAUGUUCAGACUUAUCAGUAUUCAUUAAAGACCCUCCAUUUGUGCAAGACCUUCUGGGAAAGAGUGCCCUAUCUCGGUGUCUUAGAUUUAACAACAACGACAAAAAGGUUCCAUUUUAGACACUUUUUUUGAUCAGGCAGCAGGCAGUCUCUGGCUGUGGGAGGUGGGAACCAGUCAUAUAUGCAUAUGACCAAACAGCUUUUCUACUGGAGAAGUUUAGCGUUGGUAAGAGAAGGGGUUCCAAGUUGAUGUUUAAAUCCACCCAUUUCCAUUUUGCUUCCUUACCUACAAGAAAAUUUAGAAGUUGGUGCAAAUGGCAUUUCCAUGAGUACUUCUCAUGCAUCUUUGCAUAUUUCACCUGGGGGGAAGCACAGAGGCUGAGCCUGGGAGGCUGGAUCCGCGAGGGCGCGUCACCUCGCCUAGUUGGGAGUCCAGGCACAUGCACAGCGUCUAAAGGUCUAAACAGAAAGAUGGGAUGUCCUGCCCCAGCAAAAAUCUAAUGAUUUUCUCUCUCUGUAGGAGAAAACGAAUACAGCAGGGAUGACUUCCACCAGCUCCACUUUGCAGCUCUGAGGUGUAUUAAAAAUGUAAGAAAUGCA
rnacentral:lncRNA from 1 species